rnacentral:rRNA from 1 species
CCUUACCAGGGCUUAAAUGUAGAGUGACAGGUCUAGAGAUAGAUUUUUCUUCGGACACUUUACAAGGUGCUGCAUGGUUGUCGUCAGCUCGUGCCGUGAGGUGUCAGGUUAAGUCCUAUAACGAGCGCAACCCUUGUCGUUAGUUGCCAGCAAGUAAAGUUGGGGACUCUAGCGAGACUGCCGGUGCAAACCGAGAGGAAGGUGGGGAUGACGUCAAAUCAUCACGGCCCUUACGUCCUGGGCUACACACGUGCUACAAUGGUAUGGACAAUGAGCAGCCACUACGCGAGUAGGAGCGAAUCUAGAAACCAUAUCACAGUUCGGAUCGGAGUCUGCAACUCGACUCCGUGAAGCUGGAAUCGCUAGUAAUAGGAUAUCAGCCAUGAUCCGGUGAAUACGUUCCC